AAUAGAUACCUGGUAGUCCACGCCGUAAACGAUGAGUGCUAAGUGUUAGAGGGUUUCCGCCCUUUAGUGCUGCAGCUAACGCAUUAAGCACUCCGCCUGGGGAGUACGGUCGCAAGACUGAAACUCAAAGGAAUUGACGGGGGCCCGCACAAGCGGUGGAGCAUGUGGUUUAAUUCGAAGCAACGCGAAGAACCUUACCAGGUCUUGACAUCCCACUGACCGGUAUAGAGAUAUACCUUUCCCUUCGGGGACAGUGGUGACAGGUGGUGCAUGGUUGUCGUCAGCUCGUGUCGUGAGAUGUUGGGUUAAGUCCCGCAACGAGCGCAACCCUUGAUCUUAGUUGCCAGCAUUUAGUUGGGCACUCUAAGGUGACUGCCGGUGACAAACCGGAGGAAGGUGGGGAUGACGUCAAAUCAUCAUGCCCCUUAUGACCUGGGCUACACACGUGCUACAAUGGAUGGUACAAAGGGCUGCAAGACUGCGAAGUCAAGCCAAUCCCAUAAAAACCCAUUCUCAGUUCGGAUUGCAGG
rnacentral:rRNA from 1 species